UAUUUAUUUAGUGUACUUUAGCACGCAAGGAUUUGAAUCUUGUAGUUAUAAAUCUUUGUAUUAAUAC
rnacentral:tRNA from 1 species